ensembl:misc_RNA 7SK 7SK RNA
GGAAGGGAAACUGACAUCUCUCUGUCAAUUAAUAAAGUCUCCUGUGAGUGUGAAGGUAGACUGGCUGGCUAGGUGGUGAUCUUGUUCUCCCUCACAGAUCUUCCAAAGCUGCUUGCUCUGUCAAAGAAGAUGGCAGUCACAAAUAAAGAAAGGCUCUUUAGUGUUCGGAGCUGUGUUUUCCCGCUAGAUCCUCAAAACAGACAUAAUUAGUGUGUUUAUAUGAGAUCUGUUUAGUAGCUAAGAGAGCAUUUGAGAUAAAAGGAAGGUAUCUUAGUCACCUUCCUGCUUU